CCUACGGGGUGCAGCAGUGGGGAAUAUUGGGCAAUGGGCGCAAGCCUGACCCAGCAACGCCGCGUGAAGGAAGAAGGCUUUCGGGUUGUAAACUUCUUUUCUCAGGGACGAAGCAAGUGACGGUACCUGCGGAAUAAGCCACGGCUAACUACGUGCCAGCAGCCGCGGUAAUACGUAGGUGGCAAGCGUUAUCCGGAUUUACUGGGUGUAAAGGGCGUGUAGGCGGGAAAGCAAGUCAGAUGUGAAAACCAUGGGCUCAACCUGUGGCCUGCAUUUGAAACUGUUUUUCUUGAGUACUGGAGAGGCAGACGGAAUUCCUAGUGUAGCGGUGAAAUGCGUAGAUAUUAGGAGGAACACCAGUGGCGAAGGCGGUCUGCUGGACAGCAACUGACGCUGAGGCGCGAAAGCGUGGGGAGCAAACAGGAUUAGAUACCCCAGUAGUC
rnacentral:rRNA from 1 species